rnacentral:rRNA from 1 species
UACGGGGGGGGCAAGCGUUUGUUCGGAUUUACUGGGCGUAAAGGGCGCGUAGGCGGUCGUGACAAGUCACUUGUGAAAUCUCCGGGCUUAACUCGGAACGGUCAAGUGAUACUGUCGGACUAGAGUACAGAAGGGGGCAACUGGAAUUCUCGGUGUAGCGGUGAAAUGCGUAGAUAUCUGGAGGAACACCGGUGGCGAAGGCGGCAUCCUGGACCGGUAUUGACGCUGAGGGCGCGAAAAGCCAGGGGGAGCAAACGGGGAUUAGAAACCCCCA